rnacentral:rRNA from 1 species
GACGAACGCUGGCGGCGUGCUUAACACAUGCAAGUCGAACGGAAAGGCCCUGCUUUUGUGGGGUGCUCGAGUGGCGAACGGGUGAGUAACACGUGAGUAACCUGCCCUUGACUUUGGGAUAACUUCAGGAAACUGGGGCUAAUACCGGAUAGGAGCUCCUGCUGCAUGGUGGGGGUUGGAAAGUUUCGGCGGUUGGGGAUGGACUCGCGGCUUAUCAGCUUGUUGGUGGGGUAGUGGCUUACCAAGGCUUUGACGGGUAGCCGGCCUGAGAGGGUGACCGGAGACAGUGGGACUGAGAGACGGCCGAGGCACCUACGGGAGGCAGACGGGGGGUGCAGGGGACCAUGGGCGGAAGCCUGAUGCAGCAACGCCGGGUGCGGGAGGAGGGCGGUCGGGUUGUAAACCGCUUCCGCCUGUGACGAAGCGCGAGUGACGGGAAUGGGUAAAGAAGCACCGGCUAACUACGUC